rnacentral:tRNA from 1 species
GGCCCGGUAGCCAAGUGGAAAGGCGCCUCUCUGCAAAAGAGGUAUUCGAGGGUUCGACUCCCUCCCGGGCCU